rnacentral:lncRNA from 1 species
UCGGUGUAGUUUAGGAGAAUCACCAUGAUAUUUAAUGAUUCAUGACAUUCGUGGAAGGCAACAUAGAUUAUGAGCUAAAGCGGCCAAUGAUCAUUUUGCAUCAAAUAUAUGGGCAUAUUAAUCAAUUGGACACUAAAAAUUUCCCUUCUAUUGAUCAAUUUUGCUUAGUGUGGGGGAUAAAUAAACACUUAUAUUGAUGUUUUUUCUUUAAUAAAAUGGAAAGAAAGAAUUUUUUUUGGGUUGGAAUUUCAUCAAACACCUCAUGGUCAUCCUUACUGACGAUUGACGAGCACCGGUCUAGAUUUUAAAUCAUUCUCCUUUCUUCCUUAGCACUUGACUUGAAAUUAAUAUUCGCUUCUUAAAAAACUAACUUUCCCAUCUCCCUUCUUUACCGGUAACAAAAGAUGGAAGUUUCCCUUGUGGUUCAAUGUGGAAAAACUCUGACACAUCUUGUUGUUUUCUGUAAUUUCACUUCAUCUUCUUCAUUUGAAUCUAUAAACAGUUUGUCACUCUCUGGAACCUUCACAAAAUAAAUCAUGAUAUAAUGUUAGAUCUUUAAAGAUAUUUGACAAAAACAUCAAUCUUUAGCACUAUUUUUCAAUUAAACUUGCUAAAAUUGAAAAUUAUAAAUCCAAAUCUCAAGUGUAAAAGAGGUUAUAUACCAAGUAUUACACAAACGCCACAACUAUUGGCGACGCUCUGAUCAAAUAUACAAUCGUCGUUCACUAACCUAUACUCAUAAACUGAAAUCAAGAAAAAAAUGUGAAAAAAAUCACAAAUUUAUAAGAGAAUGAAAUUUAAGCAUCCGUAAUCAUGUGCCAUGGCAGUGAUUUCUCUUGCAUCAAUAGUAAGAGCAUCCAACACACGCGAGGAAUCAAGGAUUGCAUUUGCUUUUGAC